CCAGCCACCAGUGCCAGAUGGUCUCAAGCCCACCGACCUGAUCUGCCCUUAGACUUCUGAACCUGCCUGACCUGGACUGCGUGCCUGUGUACCCGACCCUAUCUGCCUAUCUCCCUGUCUGUACUGCCGCUGGAUCUCCUCCUGAUACCGAACUCGGAUCUCCUCUGGAUAAUGCCCUUAGAAAGCCCAGAACGGACUGUUCGCCUGCCUCAAAGCCGGCUCUCCAGGCUCUGGAAUCCUGCCACCAGGGGAUUUCCAGCCUUAAAGUGAGCAGUGCCCUCCUAAUGCCCGCCCUUGUUUAUCUUUUAAUAAAGUUUGUU